CGGUGGAGUAUGUGGUUUAAUUCGACGCAACGCGCAGAACCUUUACCUGGUCUUGACAUCCCGGGAAUCUUGUGGAAACACGAGAGUGCCUCGCAAGAGGAGCCUGGAGACAGGUGCUGCAUGGCCGUCGUCAGCUCGUGUCGUGAGAUGUUGGGUUAAGUCCCGCAACGAGCGCAACCCCUAUCUUUAGUUGCCAUCAUUGAGUUGGGCACUCUAAAGAGACUGCCGGUGUCAAACCGGAGGAAGGUGGGGAUGACGUCAAGUCCUCAUGGCCUUUAUGACCAGGGCUACACACGUACUACAAUGGCCGGUACAAAGGGCAGCGACACAGCGAUGUGAAGCGAAUCCCGAAAAGCCGGUCUCAGUCCGGAUUGGAGUCUGCAACUCGACUCCAUGAAGUUGGAAUCGCUAGUAAUCGCGGAUCAGCACGCCGCGGUGAAUACGUUCCCGGGCCUU
rnacentral:rRNA from 1 species